rnacentral:tRNA from 1 species
GCCCAGAUGGCUCAGUCUGUAGAGCAUGUGACUCUUGAUCUUGGGGUCUUGAGUUCAAGCCCCAGGUUGGGCA